rnacentral:rRNA from 1 species
ACUGCGUACCUUUUGUAUAAUGGGUCAGCGACUUAAUUUUAGUAGCAAGGUUAACCAUCUAGGGGAGCCGUAGGGAAACCGAGUCUUAACUGGGCGUCAUAGUUGCUAGGAUUAGACCCGAAACCGAGUGAUCUAGCCAUGGGCAGGUUGAAGAUUGAGUAACAUCAAUUGGAGGACCGAACCGACUAAUGUUGAAAAAUUAGCGGAUGACUUGUGGCUAGGGGUGAAAGGCCAAUCAAACUCGGAGAUAGCUGGUUCUCCCCGAAAGCUAUUUAGGUAGCGCCUCGGACGAAUACUACUGGGGGUAGAGCACUGUUAAGGCUAGGGGGUCAUCCCGACUUACCAACCCUUUGCAAACUCCGAAUACCAGUAAGUACUAUCCGGGAGACACACGGCGGGUGCUAACGUCCGUCGUGAAGAGGGAAACAACCCAGACCGCCAGCUAAGGUCCCAAAGUUAUAGCUAAGUGGGAAACGAUGUGGGAAGGCUCAGACAGCCAGGAUGUUGGCUUAGAAGCAGCCAUCAUUUAAAGAAAGCGUAAUAGCUCACUGGUCGAGUCGGCCUGCGCGGAAGAUUUAACGGGGCUAAGCUAUACACCGAAGCUGCGGCAAUGUGCUUUGCACAUUGGGUAGGGGAGCGUUCUGUAAGCCGUUGAAGGUGCAUUGUAAAGUGUGCUGGAGGUAUCAGAAGUGCGAAUGCUGACAUGAGUAACGACAAAGGGAGUGAAAAACUCCCUCGCCGGAAGACCAAGGGUUCCUGUCCAACGUUAAUCGGGGCAGGGUGAGUCGACCCCUAAGGCGAGGCCGAAAGGCGUAGUCGAUGGGAAACGGGUUAAUAUUCCCGUACUUCUUACUAUUGCGAUGGGGGACGGAGAAGGCUAGGUGAGCCUGGCGACGGUUGUCCAGGUCCAAGUACGUAGGUGGAUGAAUUAGGCAAAUCCGGUUCAUCAUUAACACUGAGAUACGAUGUCGAGCUACUACGGUAGCGAAGUCAUUGAUGCCAUGCUUCCGGGAAAAGCCUCUAAGCUUCAGAUAGUAAGAAAUCGUACCCCAAACCGACACAGGUGGUCGGGUAGAGAAUACCAAGGCGCUUGAGAGAACUCGGGUGAAGGAACUAGGCAAAAUGGUACGUAACUUCGGGAGAAGGUACGCUCUUAACGGUGAAGUCCCUCGCGGAUGGAGCUGUCGAGAGUCGCAGAUACCAGGUGGCUGCAACUGUUUAUUAAAAACACAGCACUGUGCAAAAUCGAAAGAUGACGUAUACGGUGUGACGCCUGCCCGGUGCCGGAAGGUUAAUUGAUGGGGUUAGACGUAAGUCGAAGCUCUUGAUCGAAGCCCCGGUAAACGGCGGCCGUAACUAUAACGGUCCUAAGGUAGCGAAAUUCCUUGUCGGGUAAGUUCCGACCUGCACGAAUGGCGUAAUGAUGGCCACGCUGUCUCCACCCGAGACUCAGUGAAAUUGAAAUCGCUGUGAAGAUGCAGCGUACCCGCGGCUAGACGGAAAGACCCCGUGAACCUUUACUACAGCUUGGCACUGAACAUUGACCCUACAUGUGUAGGAUAGGUGGGAGACUUUGAAACGCAGACGCCAGUUUGCGUGGAGUCGUCCUUGAAAUACCACCCUUGUAGUGUUGAUGUUCUAACUUGGCCCCAUUAUCUGGGGUGAGGACAGUGCCUGGUGGGUAGUUUGACUGGGGCGGUCUCCUCCCAAAGAGUAACGGAGGAGCACGAAGGUGGGCUAAUCACGGUCGGACAUCGUGAGGUUAGUGCAAUGGCAUAAGCCCGCUUAACUGCGAGAAUGACGGUUCGAGCAGGUGCGAAAGCAGGUCAUAGUGAUCCGGUGGUUCUGUAUGGAAGGGCCAUCGCUCAACGGAUAAAAGGUACUCCGGGGAUAACAGGCUGAUACCGCCCAAGAGUUCAUAUCGACGGCGGUGUUUGGCACCUCGAUGUCGGCUCAUCACAUCCUGGGGCUGAAGUCGGUCCCAAGGGUAUGGCUGUUCGCCAUUUAAAGUGGUACGCGAGCUGGGUUUAGAACGUCGUGAGACAGUUCGGUCCCUAUCUGCCGUGGGCGUUGGAUGAUUGAGAGGGGCUGCUCCUAGUACGAGAGGACCGGAGUGGACGAACCUCUGGUGUUCGGGUUGUGUCGCCAGACGCAUUGCCCGGUAGCUAAGUUCGGAAUCGAUAACCGCUGAAAGCAUCUAAGCGGGAAGCGAGCCUCAAGAUGAGUCAUCCCUGAUACUUUAAGUAUCCUAAAGGGUUGUUGGAGACUACGACGUAGAUAGGCAGGGUGUGUAAGCGCUGUGAGGCGUUGAGCUAACCUGUACUAAUUGCCCGUGAGGCUUAACCAU